GCAUAUCAAUAAGCGGAGGAAAAGAAACCAACAGGGAUUGCCCCAGUAACGGCGAAGUGAAGCGGCAAUAGCUCAAAUUUGAAAUCUCGGCUCUUUCAGAGUCCGAGUUGUAAUUUGCAGAGGGCGCUUUGGAGUCGGCAGCGGCCUAAGUUCCUUGGAACAGGUCAUCAUAGAGGGUGAGAAUCCCGUAUGUGGCCGCUUGUCUUCGCCGUGUAAAGCCCCUUCGAUGAGUCGAGUUGUUUGGGAAUGCAGCUCUAAAUGGGAGGUAAAUUUCUUCUAAAGCUAAAUAUUGGCCAGAGACCGAUAGCGCACAAGUAGAGUGAUCGAAAGAUGAAAAGCACUUUGGAAAGAGAGUCAAAAAGCACGUGAAAUUGUUGAAAGGGAAGCGCUUGCAGCCAGACGUGCCCGCAGUUGCUCAUCUCCAGUUUACUGGGGUGUACUCUUCUGUGGGCAGGCCAGCAUCAGUUCAGGCGGCUGGAGAAAGACCUGUGUCAUGUAGCUGUCUUCGGGCAGUGUUAUAGGGCAGGUGGAAUGCAGCCAGCUUGAACUGAGGUCCGCGCAUCUGCUAGGAUGCUGGCGUAAUGGCUGUAAGCGGCCCGUCUUGAAACACGGACCAAGGAGUCUAACAUCUAUGCGAGUGUUUGGGUGUCAAGCCCGAGCGCGUAAUGAAAGUGAACGGAGGUGGGAACCCCUCGGGGUGCACCAUCGACCGAUCCUGAUGUCUUCGGAUGGAUUUGAGUAAGAGCAUAGCUGUUGGGACCCGAAAGAUGGUGAACUAUGCCUGAAUAGGGUGAAGCCAGAGGAAACUCUGGUGGAGGCUCGCAGCGGUUCUGACGUGCAAAUCGAUCGUCAAAUUUGGGCAUAGGGGCGAAAGACUAAUCGAACUAUCUAGUAGCUGGUUCCUGCG
rnacentral:rRNA from 1 species